ACUCCUACGGGAGGCAGCAGUGGGGAAUAUUGGACAAUGGGGGAAACCCUGAUCCAGCAAUGCCGCGUGAGUGAUGAAGGCCUUAGGGUUGUAAAGCUCUUUUACCAGGGAUGAUAAUGACAGUACCUGGAGAAUAAGCUCCGGCUAACUCCGUGCCAGCAGCCGCGGUAAUACGGAGGGAGCUAGCGUUGUUCGGAAUUACUGGGCGUAAAGCGCACGUAGGCGGUUACUCAAGUCAGAGGUGAAAGCCCGGGGCUCAACCCCGGAACUGCCUUUGAAACUAGGUAACUAGAAUCCUGGAGAGGUGAGUGGAAUUCCGAGUGUAGAGGUGAAAUUCGUAGAUAUUCGGAAGAACACCAGUGGCGAAGGCGGCUCACUGGACAGGUAUUGACGCUGAGGUGCGAAAGCGUGGGGAGCAAACAGGAUUAGAUA
rnacentral:rRNA from 1 species